GAAUUUGGCAAUUUUGAGGAACCAAAAGAAAGUUGUGUGACUGGAGCCCUAGGGUGAAGUAGAUCGUGGUGAAAAGCGAAGCUGUGGGGGAAGACCAGGGUCAUGUAGGUACAACAGCAACCAAGAAGAUCGAUGUCUACCUCCCUCUGCACUCGAGCCAGGACAGACUGCUGCCAAUGACCGUGGUGACAAUGGCCAGCGCCAGGGUGCAGGACCUGAUCGGGCUCAUCUGCUGGCAGUAUACAAGCGAAGGACGGGAGCCGAAGCUCAAUGACAAUGUCAGUGCCUACUGCCUGCAUAUUGCUGAGGAUGAUGGGGAGGUGGACACCGAUUUCCCCCCGCUGGAUUCCAAUGAGCCCAUUCAUAAGUUUGGCUUCAGUACUUUGGCCCUGGUUGAAAAGUACUCAUCUCCUGGUCUGACAUCCAAAGAGUCACUCUUUGUUCGAAUAAAUGCUGCUCAUGGAUUCUCCCUUAUUCAGGUGGACAACACAAAGGUUACCAUGAAGGAAAUCUUACUAAAGGCAGUGAAGCGAAGAAAAGGAUCCCAGAAAGUUUCAGGCCCUCAGUACCGCCUGGAGAAGCAGAGCGAGCCCAAUGUCGCCGUUGACCUGGACAGCACUUUGGAGAGCCAGAGCGCAUGGGAGUUCUGCCUGGUCCGCGAGAACAGUACGUUGGCCGCCUCGCUCCAUGCCCACUUUGUCCGUUGCAAACUUGCUUAGAAGUCAUGUGUUUGGAAACGCUCACUGGUCUGGUUUCCCUAGGCAGAUUUGAAGUGACUGUUUUCCAAGGCAGACUGCAGUCUUCGUGCCAAAGUAUAUCCCAAAGUGAAAUGAUUGAUUUUGUGCUUUUUGGUAGAGAGGCUGCAUCCUGUUUAGCACUCUGUGAUUAAUAUUUUCCUGUUAAACUGUGUCUUCCUAAGUGGGGAGCAUCCCUGGAAACAGCUUAGAAACAUGAGGCCUUUUCUGAAGUAAAGGCUAUUUUGUAUAUAAAGCAACUGGCCCUGUCAGUAUCACUAUUCAGACAUCAGGUUUUAG
rnacentral:sRNA from 1 species